rnacentral:tRNA from 1 species
UCGGAUAUGGUGUAACGGCUAACAUUGCCGCCUCUCAUAUGAAUGCGCGGCAGCUCGGGGUUCGAUUCCCCGUAUCCGAA